rnacentral:lncRNA from 1 species
CAUAAUGGAGGAUGUCAUUGCAGGAGAGUAAGGUGGCGAGUCCAAGCACCAAGUAGUGUUGUCGCUUGGAACUGCAACUGUUCUGAUUGUUCCAUGAGGGGAAACACUCACUUCAUUGUCCCUUCUGAAAAGUUUGAGCUUCUUGGAGAUUCCAAAGAAUUUCUUACAACCUACACUUUUGGCACGCAUACAGCAAAGCACACAUUCUGUAAGUUUUGUGGCAUAACUUCGUUUUACAUUCCACGAUCAAAUCCAGAUGGGGUUGCGGUUACUUUCAGAUGUGUGGACCCAGGGACUCUCACUCAUGUUGAGAUUAAGCACUAUGAUGGGAGGAAUUGGGAAAGCUCAUACAAUCAGACAGGCAUUGCUUCAUGCUCCCAAGGUACAGACUGAAUUGUCACUCAUUCUUCCACCACUCUCCUCUGUUUCCCUCCCUAGAGGAGAAGUACAACAUUUGGGAAAAACCUUUGUGAUGUCGCUUUUUGGAAAUCCUCAAAGUUGGAAAAUAAAAUUAGCAAUGCCUAAGUGUUGCCCUCGGCCAAAACUUUGCACCGUUUCCUUGUGUUAUUUGAACAAAAAAACAAGUUACCCUAACUGCUAAUUAAGAGAGAGACUUUACGCAUUUCAUGAUUCCCACACUGAUCAUCAUUUCCCUUGAACAUGAGGAUCAAAUGGACAGCAAAAAACAGAGGUUGGAAACUAACGAUUUGCAUGUUUAAAUGACCUCAAGAAACACAAAGUAGUCCUGUAGGUUUGGUUCACCUUUCACAACACAUCAAUUUUCAUCCCAGCACGAGCUUGAUAGCAUUUGCCAGUGUCGUUUGUGUCAGUAGCCAUGGCUAGAGAAACCAAUACAGCAUAUGCUAAACUUGGCACAACAACAAAUCAUGUGCUGACUUUUGUGCCCGCUAUAUCUCUGCAUUUCAAAGAACCUUCAACUCGUUAAUUUGAUCAAAGUCUUUGGUCAUGGGAUUCAUGGGAAGGACUGAACUAUCAUGCCAUAAGAUGACAAGUAAUACUAAACAAAAAAAAAUUGAGAAUAUUCAUCACCUCGUUAAUUCUUUGAUUUUUCCUUUUGUUUUAUGGUUACUCGACACUUCCUUUCGAUUAAUCUGUUUUGAGUGGAGCAUCUUAAUUAACCUUAAUAUGACAAGAUCUUUAAUCACAUUGGCAUCUGGAAUCUUAAAAAAAAUACUUCCUGCUUGACACCCUCGCCUCGAUCUGUCUAAUCCCACCCCAUAACAUGUCUCUAUGCCUCUUGUUUUUUCAGUUCUCAUGACUCUGCAUGUAUGCAGGCGCGCACAAAUUUUUUAUAUGCAGAGUAUGCAUCAUUUUUCAAUCAAACACCACUUUUCAAUGUCCAAUGGCACUUGCCUAUCCAGCCAAGACCACUAUCAUCUUCACAAAUGAAAUGAUGUGAAUGACAGAACAAAUUUUUUUGGGAAAUAUUUUCACUAACAUCUUUAUCAUAAGGAUUGGGUUUGUAAAUACAUAGUCAUUAGGUAAGAAAAUGAAGCUAUGUUUUGGCCAUACAAGUUCUCGGUUUUAAGUCCUAGACUCCAUACAGCGGCUCCAUACAAAAGCUAUCUUCACACAUUUUCUUUACAUAUAUUUUACUCUUCUCAUAUUUACUAAUUUAGACAUCAAAUAAUCUUCUAUUUUGAUAAAUAACUGGGUUUUUAAGUGAACACCUGUUGAACCAAGGUCAAAACCAGUUAAUAGUCCAGAGAAACAGUUUUGGAAAGCCUAAUUCCCGUUCGAUGAUUUCACGAUUCCAUCAAUUACUUAUCAACAAUUUUUAAUUAAAUUUAACAAAAUUAAUUAAGGGGAUUUUUGAGAAAAUCUUUGUCGAUAUACAAUCAUCGAUCUUUUGAUCAAAUUUUGAAGUCUACCUAUGAUCAUCAGCAGCUACGACAAAGUGGAAGAUUCGACUUCACCAUUGACAUACAUAAAGAUUUUUUAUUACUAGAAACCUGAGUUUCUGUAGAUAUAUUAAAUGAAGUUAUAUUUACCACUCCAUAUAUAUAUAUAUACAAAACAUUAAUUCUAAACUCAUGAAUGAGCAUGUCUUGUCAUCACUAGGCUAUGAUAAUAUAAAAUUUAAGGUUCGAUCUGCCCAUCCUAGAUGAAUAAUCAAGCAGCUAGUACUUACAGCUCCUAUCUGGUAAUGUCAUUGAUCGAGCCAAUUUUCUGUACCAGAGAAGUUCAAGGCAAUAAAUCUCUCAACUACCGAUAUAAUUGCCAUAAAUAUUUAGGGAAUCAUUUCAUGAGUUAAUGCUUCAACCCAUAUUUGUUAAACUCAAUUGACGGGUUAAUUUAGAAAAUUUAUAAUUCAAAACUUGACAUGGAUUGUGUUUUAAAUUAAUAAAAAAGACGAUAACUUGUGAAACUCAGUUCACAUAUCGAGUAUUGGAUCAACUUGACAAUUACCUUUUAUGGAAGAGCCUAGGCAUAUAUGGCCAUGGGUUGUAAGACUCUCCACCACAUUUUUACAAGUGUUUGAGGCCCAUUACUGGUCAUUCGGCUAAGAAACACACAUGAAAUCCUAUAGAAUGUACCCAAAAAAGAGCCUCCAAUAUACACACACACACAUUCUCAGACAGCUGAAAGCAGCAUUUGUUGCCAGCACGAGGCUUGAGCAACAGUCCUACAGCCAGCAAAAUUGACUUUUUUUUUCUUCAGGUAAAUUCCUUUGCUUCUCUUCUUAUCGAUGUUAAUGAUAAUCUUGUGUUAUAUCAUAUGUUGUUUCUCUGUCUGCUAAAUUCAGUUACAUCUAUUGUGGUUUGGAAUUUGUAGAUACUAAAGAUGUUAGUUUAUCCUGGCAACUAUAUAUGUUGGGGUUUAGAUCAACAAAGUAAUGAUGAAAGUGUUUGUGGGUUCGAUUCAAUAAAGAAGAUUUAGAAGGACCAAGUUGGUGAUGUAGGAGGACUGUUACUGCUUUAGGCAAUGGAAAGAAAUGCAUGAUCUAUUGAAGUGUGUUUCUAAUAAGAAGAAAAUUAUUAGUGUUUGAUUGAUGCAUGCAUGAUCAGAUGGAGGGUUGGAGAUCAGGUAUUAGUUCAUAACAGGGGGACUUGUUGUAGCUUCGUUUUCAAAGCUGCUACUAGGGAGCUCCAGUGGGAUUUUGAGCUGGGGUUUGAUGGGGUAUUUGAAGACGGGGAUCUUUUUUCUAGCUGUUUUAGGUCAGUACAGUAGAUUGGUGAAUAUUUCUUAGAGCGAGAUUGGUUGAAGGGCGUGUCAAUAGGUGCAUGGGAGGGAUGGAGCUGGCUCUUGGAAAAGCACCGGUAGUUAUUGGAAAGUCUUUCAUCUGAGGUCGGUGAUGGGUGAAGCAACUUGUUGCGACAAGUGUUUGAUGUGGUGAAGAAGAAAAGGGAAUUCAUAUUUAGUUAUAUUGAGGGCGAAGGGUGGAUGACAUCAUGGGAUUUGACAUUCAAAGGAUUUCUUUCAGCCAAUAUGAAGUGUGUUGAUAAUAAGUAGUGAAAAGUUCUAGGUGGAUUUCGGCGUAUCUAAGACCCAAGCAUUUCUCACUUCUGCAUAUUUAAGGAUGCUGAAAACAAUGGCCAUUAGACCUCAUUUCUCUUUCCAUCUUCCCAUUUUCUUAGUUUUUCUCUUAUUGUAAUCGGUGUUCAAUGAAGUUUUCUAAAAACUUGGUUUCCUUCUUGUUUCCAUUAACCAAUUUCCACCUGAUCUGGCUUAAGCAGUAGUUUCUAAUGAAUUCUCAAUGUUUAGCAGAAAUUAUGCUUGCUUGUUGGAUAUUAUACAUAAACACUCAUACUUUGUCCCGCCAUCAUUAUUUGUAAGCUUAUAAACAAUUUCAUAUAAUUUGAAUCAGCCUCCUUCCCCUUAGCUACUCAAUCAUAAUGUAAUUUCAAGUGAAAGCAAAUUCCAUGUUCUCACAAUAUGGCUCAUACCUGCAUUUCUCAGGAGAGAGUAUUUCAGCUGACACAUUUUUCAGUCUGGGGACUCUAUUUCUGAAUACUUGCUAUCCCAUCGCUAACUGCUAUGCAUUGUUUGCAUAUUUGUUAAUUGAUUGCAGCCACCAGAUUCAUCCAGGAGAAGCCACCAUUUCCAACCAGUGCUUUCGUGAAUGGAAUCAGAUAUGGUAAUGCAUUAUGGAGGAUGUCAUUGCAGGAGAGUAAGGUGGCGAGUCCAAGCACCAAGUAGUGUUGUAGCUUUGAACUGCAACUGUUCUAUUUGUUCCAUGAGGGCUAGCAUUCAGUUCAUUGUCCCUUCUGAAAAGUUUGAGCUUCUAGGAGAUUCCAAAGAAUUUCUUACAACCUACACUUUUGGCACGCAUACAGCGAAGCACACAUUCUGUAAGUUCUGUGGCAUAACUUCAUUUUACGUUCCACGAGCAAAUCCAGAUGGGUUUUCAAUUACUUUAAGAUGUGUUGACCCUGGGACUCUCACUCAUGUUGAGAUUAAGAACUUUGAUGGGCAGAAUUGGGAAAGGUCAUACAAUCAGGCAUUUGCUUCAUCCUCUCAAGGUGCUGGCUGCUGAAGUGUCGUUCUUUCUACCACCACUCUCCUCGCCUUCCCUCCCUAAAGUAGUACAAUAUUAUGGAAAAACCUUUGUGAUAUCGCUCUUUGGAACAUUCUCAAAGUUGGAAAAUAAAAUUAGCAAUGUUAGCUAAUUGAUUGGUUAUACGUGUAGCUAAUUGAUUGGUUACUUGUGCUAUUGACUUUGUUCAUGUUUUAAUAAAGACUUUCUUCAUCCUUAAUGAGGUACAAGCCUGAGCGCUUACAAAUUUCAGAUUUGAAGGAAGUUCCCCGAGUGAUUGAAGCCUCUUGCAAUCAUCCAAAUAUAGAUAUUCAAGAUUGGAAAGUUCAUGGAUAGUUGCAGGUAGGCUAGUAAAGUUGUUGCCACUCACGUUUAAUACACUUAAUGAAGUUAAGCAGCUGAAAUCACCGGGAAUUGAUUCUUCCUGUAGAUUGCAGUUACUUAAAUCCAACGCUAUAAAAGAGCAUAAUCCUGAGAAUGAAUUCAAUGACAAACUCAAGGAAUUUGUCCUUUUUUCCCGAAACGAGGAUAAAAACAUCAUCCGUGUCUUAAGCAGCUGUCCUUUACAUCCACGAAGAGAUAGCUUUUUAAGCUUUCUGACGAGAGAGAAGGAAGAUGGUGGCUGUCUUCUAAUAGCAGUUCCACUUAUAUCAAGCUCCUCCAAACUUUCUGCAUGACCCAAUUCCUCCAGCCUAUAAAGUUUUCAACAUCCAGAUAAGUCGAAAGUUUCAAGGGCUUUUAAACCAUAUGCACUCUUAGGAAGACUUGCAAGCUUUUUGCUGUCAUUCAGGUUUAAUAAAACGAGGCUUUCGAGAACUCCAACUGAUUGGUCAAUCUCAUGCAAUUUUGUGUAACCUUAAAGAAUCAGCUUCUCAAGAUUUCGGACCUCUCUAAAAUCCGGUGUCUUACAAGAUCGAGGGAGUAACUGAGAUUGAUGAGUUUCAUCUUGUUAAAAUUCUGUUAAGAAGCCGAAGGAAACACUGAAAACCAGUUUCCAUGAACUUUUCCCUUUUUUUUGGUUUAACAAAUGAAACAUACGUAAGUGGUAAUCAUGCCUGCUCUCCCUUCCAUAGUUGUUCAACUUGGCUAUAACUCAAAUCCAUAAGUUCCUCUGGAUGAAAACUCAAUGGCAACGUUUUGAAAGGAUAUUCAUCCCAUUUGAGAAUCCGUAACUCAUUAGAAAGAUAUUGGAGGCUAUGUGUAACAGUGUCAAAUGUGCAUGGGAUGCACACUUCGGCAGGCUGUCCAAAACAGGGCCUAAGGGUGCUGGCAGCCAUGCCAACAGUGGGAAAAAUCGGCAGCGCAGAUUUAUGCGGCUGUAGGUUCGUCAAAGGAAAAUCGGCAGCGCAGAUUGCAUGAGCUUGACGAUGGAAUGUCCAAGUCAGGCAGGAAAACUCGUCAGGGGCAUAGGCUGACGAGAACAGGGGCUGUCGAGGGAUUCGGCAGCGAAGACAUUGGCAGCCUGCACGCAGAUGCGAAUUCGGCAGCGCGCAACAGCUUGUGCAAGUCAGGGGCUCGACUUGGCACGAUCAAAAAGUUGGACGAAGGACUGUCCAAGGCAUACGAAUGACUCAACGGCUGACGCAGCAAGAGCUGGCAGAUGGGGCUGCCAGGUGGGCAUGCAGAACGUGGGUUAGUGGCUGUUAUGGGCAUCCAAGAUCAUGGGAUCAUGGGACAUGUGCUGGAGAACGUGGGGGCAUGGCUGGAAGUGCUCUCAACCCACUAAGAUCAUGGGAGAUCAUGGGGAGAAAACUACCCACUACUUGGUAGAUAAUGGGGCCACUAUGUUCAUGGGUGAACAUGGGUGAGAUAGUGUCCCACUACUUCCUAAAAUGUAGGAAUGAAAGUUGUGCCUUGUAAAUGCUUGUCUAUAAAUAGUGGCUGCAGCUCUUGGUUAUGUAUGCAUGUAGAGCACAAGAUUAGAGAGAGUAGCUUGGUGUAGCAUGCAAUCUUUGUGCAUAGCACACAUACAGAUUUGUGUAAAGUUUUCUUUGUUUACGAGAUCAAUAAAGGUUGGGAAAGAGUUCCUAUAAAGCUUGUUGUGCACUUUGUUUAUCCUAUUCUUCUUGUGUAUUCCGCUUGUCUUCUAACUUGGGUGAGGGAAACACUUAGUUACUAGGCAAACACGAGUGGGAUUGGCGAGGGAAGGCUGAGUCUAGCGAGGGACUAGGCUGCCGCACGGGUAUAUUCGCGGAGCAAAAAAUUACCCCGUGACACUAUGGGAGAAGCGCGCAUUACGAAUAUGAGCAACAAUCUUAGUUUUGUCAUCUUCGAGAAUGAUAGAGCACUUAAUUGUGCCCCUGCUGGUCUUGGUAAGUAUAGGGAUAUGCCUUCAACAUCCUCUGUUCCCUGACAAAGAGGCAAAUUAGCACAAGGAAAAUUGAAGAAUCUAAAGAAAACCAAACACAGCUAUCCAGUUUGAAGAAAGAGUUUUUUCACAGGGUAUCAUACUGUAUUUUUUGUCAAGACAUGAUCAAUAUCCUUAUAAGGCCAUAGCCUCCUGCGUUUUCCUGGUUCCUCUGGAGAUUCUUGCCGAACAAGCUUCCAGCCCAUUUGUUGAAGCAAAUCGUGCAUCCAUAGAGUGUUGUUAUUUGAAACAGUUAUGAGAGAUUUAUCGAUGAGAACUCUUAUUCCAAUAUCCGGGUAGACACCACAGCUGUCCCCCAUUUUUGCUAUGUGAUCUCUGUCGUUUCCCUUAAAAAAACAUGCUAUAUCCAGGAAUAUUUUCUUUUCUGUUUCCUCGAGUCCAUCAAAACUUUUUUGAAGUGUAUCCAGAAUUUCUUUGUCAGGAUUUUCUUUCAUUCUAUCUAAUGCACUUUUCCAUUCUUUUAAAGUCUUGUCAAACAAAAGGAACCCAAUAUUUCAAGAGCUAAUGGAUGGCCAUUCGCAUGAUCUAUAACCAAAGUUGACGGUGUCAUAUACUCUUCUGGAGGAUGGUUAGUUUUGAAGGCUUUCAAACUAAAAAGCUGGAGUUUUUCAUCAUCAUUUAAUCCCCCAGACUUGUAUAUUUUAUCCACCCGAUGCCUGACAAGCACAUUUAUAUCCCUAGUUGUUAUGAUGAUUCUACUCCCUAAACCAAACCAAUCACGCUUUCCAGCCAAUUUUUCUAAUUGGUUCAAAUGGUCCGCAUCAUCCAUCAACAACUAUCAAAACACGUUGACGUCGCAUCCUAGUAUUCAUCAUCUCGGUUCCAUGAUACACAUUCCAUAUUUUCACAUUUUCUGCCUUAAGGAUUUCGCAAAGAACUUGUUCUUGUAAAGUUAGCAUGCCACCUUUUGAUGAAACUUCCCUAACAUUAGCUAGAAAGGUGCUACCCUCAAAUCGGGGUGACGUUCGAUUGUAGUAAGCUCGUGCAAGAGUUGUCUUUCCUAUUCCUCCCAUCCCACAAAUUCCUAUGAUGCGAACAUCAUUAGACCCUAGAUCCAUAUAAGAGCCCAGCUUAACCAAACGUCUAUUCAUUAUAGUAGAUGAUAAUACAGGGCUCAGUAUACUCAGUAUGCUUUGCACAAUAUCUUGUAUAAAGUUUGAUUCAUGCCUAUAAAGUGGAAGGAUGAAUAAGAAAGUUUCGAGUCGUAAUAAACUAUGAAGGAAAAAAAAUAAAUCAGUGUUCGCUGCAUAUUACAAUUAAAAAAAAUGGCAUAUGACAUCAUGUGUCAUACUUAGAAGAAGGGGAGGUCAUGUUAAUGCAGAAAAUAUAAGCGUGCAUCUCUUAGUGCAAAGAUUUAUACAGACAUGUACUAUUUAAAGGAUAGACAGAAGGGCUUAAACUUAUAAAAUUCUGGAAAUUUUUGCAGUAACUGAUAUCUGCCAAAGUUUGAGUCUUUCCCAGCUGAAAUUGUAGUUCUGAUAUUUGUGAUUGUUUGAAAAUGAUUUGGCUUUUAAGCAAACUCAGUGAAUUUUGUUACAGUUUCUUUUUUAGACAGAUGGCUAAAUAUAGAUAGAUAAACUGAAAGAGAAAGAGUUGCAUUCAACAUCUGCUUGUUUUUCAAAGUCAAUGACUGCUGGGCUGCUGGCCAUGUUGAAAAUGUUAUAUAUACUUUUGAAAAAUCAAAUGAAAAUUGUUGUUUAAAGUAUUUUUUAUUUUAAAAUAUAUUAAAGUAAUUUGUUUUAUUUUUAAAAUUUUAAUUUUGAUAUCAGUAUAAUAAAAAUAAAUAAUUUAUAAUAAAAAAAUUAAAAUUUUAUAAAAAAAUGUUAUAAUCGCAAAACAAACAAUCAUAUAGAUUAUAUUUUUUUAAAAAGACUUUAAAAAUAAAUGCAACCAGAAAAAAAUUAAGCAUGUAUAUCUUUGCCUUAAUUUUCCUUUUCUAAAUAUCGUUUAGUGACAAAAUUUACCAUGUAAAAUGCCCUCCAACUUUUAUUCUUUCUUUGUGCCCAUGCUUAUUUCAUUUUAAGUGAUUUUUAGAAUGUUUUUUUGAUAGAAAAACAUCUCAAAAUAAAAUUUAAUUGAUAUCUUUUCAACUCAAACAUGUAUUUGUUAUCAGUGAAAAUGGUGAGAAAUUCAAGGAAAGUGUAAUGCUUCUUUACCAUCAAAACUCAAAGCCAUGCUAUGAGUUCAGAACUUCAUCAGAUGUACUGAUUUAAAAUAUUGGCUUUCAUUGUUACAUGACUGAAGAUGAAAGUCUUUAGAAGUUCACAUUACUUGCAGGUCUAACUAGGUUGGUGCCUCUCAGACCUUUUAAAUAGAGAAAAAAUAAAGAGGGGAUAAAAACAAAAAUGACGAUCAUACCUUUAUCCCCUCCAAAGUCGUUCAACUUUGCUACAGCACGUAUCAAGUUUAAUAAGUUCCUCUGAAUGGACAAUGGCAAGUUCUUGAAAGGAUAUUCAUGCCAUUUGAGAAUCUGUGACUCAUUACAAAGCUAUUAAAGUCUACACACAUUAGGGAAUACUGAUGAUCUUAAUGUGCAUGUCCUGUUGCUGGUAAUUCUGGGUUUAUCUCUUCAAUAUCUUCUGUUCCCUAACAAUUAAACAUACAAUUCCAACAAGCUAAGAAUGCAAGGAAUGGUUUUAUGUGAUGUCUCUCAGUGUAUUUCAUGUCUAGGCAAGGCAGAUAUCCUUACAGAGCCAUAGCCUCGGAAAUCUCUUACGAUUUUCCUGGCUCCUUGGAAAUUCUUGUCGAGCAAGUUCUUAAAACAAAUCUUGCAUCGAUAAUCAGCUGUUUUCCUUAAAGUUGGUCGAGACAUUUACCAAUGAGAACUUGUCCCAAUAACUGGCAAGAAACCUCAGGUGACACACAUUUCUGUUGUAUUCAGCUUUGUGCUUUCCCUUAAAAAACAUGCAAUAUCUGUGAAAAUUUUCUUUCCAUACCCUCUAAUCCAUUAAAACUUGUUGACUUUUAUCCAAGAGUUCUUUUCCUGGAUUUUCUUUCAUUCUUGCUAGAGCGGGACUUAAACAUCCAUGAGUCAAUGAUAUAAGGAUUGAUUUGCAAGGAAUUUUAAUAUAGAGGUUAAAAUGAUUAACAUUUAGAACUUGGAGGAUCACAAAAGUAAUUUGCUUUAAAAAAGGUUGAUUGCAUGGAGCUGUCCUUUCUUUUCAUUGCAUUCCAAGAUUGUCAAUUAUGUUUGUUUUAUUUAGAAUGACUGAUAUAUCUCAUUUCAAUUUAAAAAAUAAAAUAAAUUAGAAUAAAUUUUAUUUUGUUCAAAAUCUUGUCCUGUUCUAGAAAUUUCGUUUAAAUUCCAGUUGAAGUGUUCUGGUUCUAUUCUGCAUGUUAUUUUCCUGUCAAAUAAUAUUUUUUUUGGUUUUUUAUUUUUUUAAAAAUGUUACAGUUUUAUGAUGUCAAUCAUAUUUACAACCCGGUAAUCAUCAAAUGAUGAAUGGAGUGAACUUUGCAUCUGCAGGAACUGGUGCCCUUGUGGAAACUCAUCAAGGAAAAGUACAUGAUCUUAUUGAUUAAGCCCUUCUUUUUGUGUGUGUUUUAGCUUAGGCUUCUUGUUCAUCACAGCUAAAUAGUCCGUAGAAUUUGCUUAUUGGUGCAAAUCCAGCAUUAUUAACUUGGUCUGCAUCUUAAUAUUGUUCUCAUUUGUUCCCAUUCAUUGAAAAGGUGAUAGACCUUAAAACACAAUUACGUUAUUUUAAGGAAGUGGAGAAGCUACCAAGGCAGAAAUUAAGCGAUGAAGUAGCUAAGACAUUGGUGUCCUCUGCUCUUUACUUGUUCAGCAUUGGAAGCAAUGACUACUUUGUACCUUUCAUUACAAACCCCACUGCGCUUCAAUCCUACAACAGAAACGAGUACAUCAGGAUGGUUAUCGGCAACCUGACAUCUGGUAUCCAAGUGAUAUGUUAAUAACCUAAACAUUCUUUCUGUUUUUCAAAUCGAUCAUAGUCUAUAUAUGGUUUCGCUUUACUGUUCCAGGAAAUAUAUAAGGAGGGAUGAAAUUUCAAUCUUGGCUGCAUCGUGCCGUUUUCCUUCCUGAGAGCACUUAAACGAACUAGAACAAGAAGUUCAGGCUGCAUGGAUGAAGUUGCAGUUCUGACAAAGCUACACAAUAGAGAACUCUCUAAGGUCCUUAAAAAGCUUGAGAGACAGUUUAAUGGAUUUAAGUAUUCAAAUUUUGAUUUCUAUACUUCACAUAGUGAAAGAAUAAAUCAUCCCACCAAAUAUGGUAUGUUUUUAUCUACAUGUCAAUUCAGAAUUUCCUGCUUGUGUUUCUCAAGUAACAAGUCUAUCCUAACUGUCAAGUUCAGGGUAUGACUUGUUUCUAAUCCUUCUAUACCUAUUUUAGGUUUUGAUUGUUGCAACUUGAAUGUGAAGAUUUUGAGAUAAAAGUGGCAUGUUGUGGCGCUAGUCCGUAGUGAGGUUCCAAGUGUGGUCUGAACAAGUUCGAAUUAUGCGAUAAUGCGAGUGAAUAUCUCUUCUUUGAUGGAAUUCAUCCAGCAGAUGAGGUUCAUAAUCAAUUUGCAAAGUUGUUGUGGAGUGGAAAUCCUGAUGUUGGAGGGCCUUACAGUGUCAAAACACUGUUUGAGGAAUAGCAUAAAUGAUAAAACAAGAUGUACUUUUUUCCAGAUGCUGUAUUAGUUAACCCAGAAGCCAAAGAAUACUUGCUUCUCUUUAUUCUAUCUUGACUUGGAAGAAAUGACAUUAGAGGUGAAAGCAGAGUUCUGUUCUUGAGUGGAACACUCACAGGAAUUAGAAAGAUCAUAUCUUGGUUUAGUAAUGCACUAAUUUACGAUGUAUCUGAUCAGCUCCUCAAAAUUCAAGAACCCUCUAAAAUCUAAAUCUGGUCCUUCUGAAAAGAUUCCGGGAGUGGCACAGACUUGAUAAUUUUCAACUUUAAAUUCCUGCUCAGAAUGAUAAGGAAAUACUUGACAUCUUAAAGCUUUCUGAAAGAAGAGAUGCUUAAAAUUCUGUUGGAUGUGUGGAAACAAUUGCUGGACCAGAAUGCCAUCAACACGGGUAUUUCUUCACGUACAAAAUUGCACUUAUCGAUUAUGACCUCUUUGAGAGCUCACAAGACCAACACCCUACCGGCAAGAAACUAAACAAUUGUAGUCCUUUAAGGUUUGGUUCAACUUCACAAGUUUGAAAUUAAUGAAUAAGUUCUUUACAACCUCACGCAGAGAAGCCAUCGGCAAUAGACUCUCUACGAGUAACAAAGGACCAAAGCCAACGACACCUAGAUUUAUCAGCAAAUAUGAGCAAUAAAGUAUGAUCUACCUGUGUCUCAUUCCACUGCAGAAAGUACUGCAGUCAGCUACAGACUGAUUAAAGACAUCAAAGGUAGCUGUAGAAGCUCUCUUGUAAUGAAGCAGCAAAUUGUUAAACCUUAAUUCUGAAGCAGCUUUACAAAAGUUAAAUCAAACAAUAUGUUCAAGAACUAGUGAUAUAGAAGUCUUAGUUCAAGGACUACUAGCAUUUUGACCCAUAGUUCAAGAGUGUUAUGUACCUUUUAGCCUUUAAUUUAUCAGCCUCGUUACAUUGUUGGUGUGGCCUUUCGUUUGUAUUUUUCUCAUGUUCUGUUGGUAUGCUCGACUGGAAAUGAAGCUGAACUUCUUCAUAUUCUUAGGCUUUGGAAAUCAGCCUCAACCUGUCCUCUUUUGAGUUUUGUUUUGGCUUUAGAUUUUGUCAGGCAUUGGUCUACUAAGCAAUGUUGUUGUCAUAAAAUGGUGAUUUGAAGUAUUUUGUAGGCUAGUCUUGAUAUGGCUACCUCUUGUAGUCUCAGGCCACUUAGAAGAUCUAUUGUAAUUUUCUCUGUAGUGUCAAUAUUAUCAAUGAUCCAAUAAAAAAGGGACAUGUCAAUAUUAUCAUUGAUCCAAAAACAAAAGGGACAUGUCAAUAUUAUCAAUUUAUCAAGGUUGGACAUUGGCAGCUUGGACUAAUCAUUGAUAUCCAUGUUAAGUAAAAGCACAGACGACCAAAGGAAUGGGAAGCGAUAGAAAUAUAUUGAAAACUUGAAUAAACAGAAAACAAAAACACCAAUGCUGAGUAGCCAUGGUGGGAUUUAUAUGCAUACAUAUAUUGAUGGAAAGUAGUGAACAUAUGUUGAUAUAUAACAUGCAUAUAGGGUUAAGGUCCCUGCAGCUUCACUGAGAAUCCAUUCAUUUCCAGGAUGAAUGAAGCAAAUUUCAUUAAUCAAAGAACCGAGUAGAAGAAAACUGAUCCCAAUAGCAGCAAUUUAUCAAGACUUUUUAGAAUUUUGGAGUAAAUUUGUAUUUUUUCAGCAAUUUAUCUUAGAUACGAGGCAGCUGUUAAAUUCCAAUUCUAUUGCCUUUCAAUCAAUUAUAUACAAACUGAUGCUUUAAGUCAAUGAUUUCAUACACAGUAGCAGAUUAAAAACACACACUGUACGUUCAUGUCCAUCUUCAAAAUCCUACUAUAAGAAUAGGUUACCGAGCCUCAACAAAUUUUGGGUGCUUCAGAACAUCAAAGCAUCACAGUGUUGGUAUGUCUGACUAAAUUCAAUCACAAAUAAUGAUACCCUAAACUCUCUAUCUCUUAACUUGAGAAACUCGGGAAUUAAUGUCCACAUAUGCAGCACUAUACAGUUCAAUGGCUAAACAUAAUUUAAAUUCAUCUUCUUUACCAAUCAUUCUUGGUUAACUCGCAAAGGAGGUUUGCCGCAUGCAUGCAUCCACCUCUCCAGAUCCAUUAGGUAAUGCAGAAGAAAGACAUUUAAGGACAUUAGUGCUUACCUAAGCAUGUCUCCAGACUGUAAUUUUGGUCCACUCAAUACUGGUGAGAUGCUGAAAUUAUUGCCAUCAGCUUGGAACGAAGGGUGCCCAAGAGGCACUGGUCGAUCUGGAAUCUGUGGAACUUCAAUAUCUCCUUCUAACAUUUUCAGCGCAUCCAGAAUGGUUGGCCUUAGAGCCACCAUUAUAUGAGCACACAAAAUCCCAACCAGCACAAACCUUUCCAUUGUCCCCUUCGGAUUUGAGUUUGAAGAAUCACCACCUCUCAACAAAGAAGCAUCCAAAGCCUGUUCCACUUUUCCAGCUUUCACCAAUGACCAGGCCCAGUCUGUGAUCAACAACGCACGAGGUGACCCUGAAGAAGACAAAUCAAGAGCUUUUCUCCCACACAUUAUCUCCAAAACAACCACCCCAAAGCUAUAAACAUCGCUCUUCUCAGUCAGUUGACCAUAAAGAGCAUAUUCGGGUGCUAAGUACCAAUGAGUUCCAGCCACUCUUGUAGUAAGAUGAGACUGCCCUUCCCUACUUUGCUUUGCCAACCCAAAAUCGGCAACUCUUGCUCUCAUAUCAGCAUCUAACAAUAUAUUUGUCCCCUUGAUAUCUCUAUGAUAUAUUCCAGGCUUGACUCCAUAGUGCAAAUAAGCUAAUCCCCUUGCCACAUCCAAAAUUAUGCUCUUUCUUUGAGGCCAACUUAACAAUUGCUUUUGAAUUUGAUUAACCGAUGAUGGAAAUAAAUGGUCAUCAAGAUUCCCAUUUGACAUGUAAUCACAAACAAGAUACCUCUGAUUGCCUCUCUCAUCAGAAUUUACAUCAUCGUCAAUCACACAGCACCCUCUGAGUGGCACCAAAUUCCUGUGCUUCAAGUUGCUAAUAAUCUCAACCUCAUUGCAAAACUCUGCAUCACCUUUAAAAUCAGAUUCUAUAACCCUUUUAACAGCCACCACAGUCCCAUCAGAUAAAACCCCCUUGUAAACAAAACCAAACCCGCCUCUCCCAAUAAAAUUCUUCUGCGAGAAAUUGUCUGUUGCCUUCUCAAGAUCCUGAAUUUUAAACCAAAUUGACCCUGUAUUCGGCCUCAGUUUAGGCCUAGACCCUUGUUGUUCAUCUAGUCAAAACCAAAGCCUAGAUUCUUUUUCCUUCUCCAUUUCUUAUCAUACCAAAGAUACAAUCCUAACAAACUAGAGAUUACGAAAAUAGCAACACCAGCACAAGUCAAGCCAAAAACAAGAGCAGAAUGAGAAUUGCUAGCUGAACCAACACUUGAAUUCAAUUCCAAACCAAAUAUACAUGAAACAACACCAUCACUUUCAGGACCAAACUCGUUAACAAUACCAGCAGCAUAAAGAACAGCAAAGUAAAAACAAUCUUGAGCAUGAGUUUGAUUACCAUCAGCAUACACCAACAACGACUGUACUGUAAAACCAGCUCUAAGACAAGAAGCACAAGCUGUUUUUACUUUGCUCAUAGAUGGAGUAUCCUUCUAACACCGCUCCUGUAUUACCGGUCAUGAACCCGGGAUUCGGGUCGUGAUAGUUGGUGUGGCCUUUCGUUUUUAUUUUUCUCAUGUUCUGUUCGUAUGCUCGACUGGAAAUGAAGGUGAACUUCUUCCUAUUCUUAGGCUUUGGAAAUCAGCCUCAACCUGUCCUCUUUUGUGUUCUGCUUUGGCUUUAGAUUUUUUCAGGCAUUGGUCUACUAAGCAAUGUUGUUUUCAUAAAAUGGUGAUUUGAAGUAUUUUGUAGGCUAGUCUUGAUAUGGCUACCUCUUGUAGUCUCAGGCCACUUAGAAGAUCUAUUGUCAUUUUCUCUGUAGUGUCAAUAUUAUCAUUGAUCCAAAAACAAAAGGGACAUGUCAAUAUUAUCAAUUUAUCAAGGUUGGACAUUGGCAGCUUGGACUAAUCAUUGAUAUCCAUGUUAAGUAAAAGCACAGACGACCAAAGGAAUGGGAAGUGAUAGAAAUAUAUUGAAAACUUGAAUAAACAGAAAACAAAAACACCAAUGCUGAGUAGCCAUGGUGGGAUUUAUAUGCAUAAAUUUAAUAUUGAUGGAAAGUAGGGAACAUAUGUUGAUAUAUAACAUGUAUAUAGGGUUAAGGUCCCUGCAGCUUGACUGAGAAUUCAUUCAUUUCCUGGAAGAAUGAACCAAAUUUCAUUAAUCAAAGAACCGAGUAGAAGAAACCUGAUCCCAAUAGCAGCAAUUUAUCUAGACUUUUUGGAAUUUUGGGGUAAAUUUGUAUUUUUUCAGCAAUUUAUCUUAGAUACGAGGCAGAGGUUAAAUUCCAAUUCACAGUAGCAGAUUAAAAACACACACUGUACGUUCAUGUCCAUCUUCAAAAUUCUACUAAGAAUAGGUUACCAAGCCUCGACAAAUUUUGGGAGCUUCAGAACAUCAAAGCAUCACAGUGUUGGUAAGUCUGACGAACUUCUAUCACAACUAAUGAUACCCUAAACUCUCUACCUCUUAACUUGAGAAACUCAGGAAUUAAUCUCCACAUACUGAGCACUAUACAGUUCAAUGGUUCAACAUACUUUAAAUUCAUCUUCUUUACCAAUCAUUCUUGGAUAUGCAGGUUAACUCGCGAAAGAGGUCUGCCGCAUGCAUGCACCCACCUCUCUAGAUCCAUUAGGUAAUGCAGAAGAAAGACAUUUAAGGACAUUAGUGCUUACCUAAGCAUGUCACCAGGCUGUAAUUUUGGUCCACUCAAUACUGGUGGACUAUUUUGAUAAAUAACUGGGUUUUUAAGUGAACACCUGUUGAACCACGGUCAAAACCAGUCAAUAGUCCAGAGAAACAGUUUUGGAAAGCCUAAUUCCCGUUCGAUGAUUUCACGAUUCCAUCAAUCACUUAUCAACAAUUUUUAAUUAAAUUUAACAAAAUUAAUUAAGGGGAUUUUUGAGAAAAUCUUUGUCGAUAUACAAUCAUCGAUCUUUUGAUCAAAUUUUGAAGUCUACCUAUGAUCAUCAGCAGCUACGACAAAGUGGAAGAUUCGACUUCACCAUUGACAUAUAUAAAGAUUUUUUAUUACUAGAAACCUGGGUUUCUGUAGAGAUAUUAAAUGAAGUUAUAUUUACCACUUGACAAUUACCUUUUAUGGAAGAGCCUAGGCAUAUAUGGCCAUGGGUUGUAAGACUCUCCACCACAUUUUUACAAGUGUUUUAGGCCCAUUAUUGGUCAUUCGGCUAAGAAACACACAUGAAAUCCUAUAAAAUGUACCCAAAAAAGAGCCUCAAAUAUACACACACACAUUCUCAGACAGCUGAAAGCAGCAUUUGUUGCCAGCACGAGGCUUGAGCAACAGUCCUACAGCCAGCAAAAUUGACUUUUUUUUUCUUCAGGUAAAUCUCUUUGCUUCUCUUCUUAUCGAUGUUAAUGAUAAUCUUCUGUUAUAUUAUAUGUUGUUUCUCUGUCUGCUAAAUUCAGUUACAUCUAUUGUGGUUUGGAAUUUAUAGAUACUAAAGAUGUUAGUUUAUCCUGGCAACUAUAUAUGUUGGAGUUUAGAUCAACAAAGUACUGAGAAAGUGUUUGUGGGUUCGAUUCAAUAAAGAAGAUUUAGAAGGACCAAGUUGGUGAUAUAGGAGGACUGUUACUGCUUUAGGCAAUGGAAAGAAAUGCAUGAUCUAUUGACAUGUGUUUCUAAUAAGAAGAAAAGGAUUAGUGUUUGAUUGAUGCAUGUAUGAUCUAUUGACAUGUGUUCAUAACAGGGGGACUUUUUGUAGCUUCGGUUUCAAAGCUGCUACUAGGGAUCUCCGGUGGAAUUUUGAGCUGGGGUUUGAUGGGGUAUUUGAAGACGGGGAUCUUUUUUCUUGCUGUUUUAGGUCAGUACAGUAGAUUGGUGAUUAUUUCUUAGAGCGAGAUUGGUUGAAGGGCGUGUCAAUAGGUGCAUGGGAGGGAUGGAGCUGGCUCUUGGAAAAGCACCAUUAGUGAUUGGAAAGUCUUUCAUCUGAGGUCGGAGAUGGGUGAAGGAACUUGUUGCGACAAGUGUUUGAUGUGGUGAAGAAGAAAAGGGUAUUGAUAUUUAGUUAUAUUGUGAACGAAAUAGACUGAAAUCUAAUGAAGCUAAUUGAUUUCUUUCGGCCAAUAUGAAGUGUGUUGAUAAUAGGUAUUGAAAAGUUCUAGGUGGUUUUCCGCGCAUCCAAGACCCAAGCAUUUCUCACUUCUGCAUAUUUAAGGAUGCUGAAAACAAUGCCCAUUAGACCUCAUUUUCUCUUUCCAUCUUCCCAUUUUCUUAGUUUUUCUCUUAUUGUAAUCGGUGUUCAAUGAAGUUUUCUAAAAACUUGGUUUCCUUCUUGUUUCCAUUUACCAAUUUCCACCUGAUCUGGCUUAAGCAGUUGUUUCUAAUGAAUUCUCAAUGUGUAGCAGAAAUUACGCUUGCUUGUUGGAUAUUAUACAUAAACACUUAAACUUUGUCCCGCCAUCAUUAUUUGUAAGCUUAUAAACAAUUUCAUAUCAUUUGAAUCGGCGUCCUUCCCCUUAGCUACUGAAUCGUAAUGUAAUUUCAAGUGAAAACAAAUUCCACACCUGCAUUUCUCAGGAGAGAGUAUUUCAGCUGACACAUUUUUCAGUCUGGGACUCUAUUUCUGAAUACUUGCUAUCCCAUCGCUGACUGCUAUGUAUUGUUUGCAUAUUUGUUUAUUGAUUGCAGCCACCAGAUUCAUCCAGGAGAAGCCACCAUUUCCAACCAGUGCUUUCGUGAAUGGAAUCAGACAUGGUUAUCCAUAAUGGAGGAUGUCAUUGCAGGAGAGUAAGGUGGCGAGUCCAAGCACCAAGUAGUGUUGUCGCUUGGAACUGCAACUGUUCUGAUUGUUCCAUGAGGGGAAACAUUCAGUUCAUUGUCCCUUCUGAAAAGUUUGAGCUUCUUGGAGAUUCCAAAGAAUUUCUUACAACCUACACUUUUGGCACACAUACAGCAAAGCACACAUUCUGUAAGUUCUGUGGCAUAACUUCGUUUUACGUUCCACGAUCACAUCCAGAUGGGGUUUCAAUUACUUGCAGAUGUGUUGACCCUGGGACUCUCACUCAUGUUGAGAUUAAGCACUUUGAUGGGCAGAAUUGGGAAAGGUCAUACAAUCAGACAUUUGCUUC